rnacentral:rRNA from 1 species
GGGUUGUGAGGUUAAGCGACUAAGCGUACACGGUGGAUGCCCUGGCAGUCAGAGGCGAUGAAGGACGUGCUAAUCUGCGAAAAGCGUCGGUAAGGUGAUAUGAACCGUUACAGCCGGCGAUGUCCGAAUGGGGAAACCCAGUGCAAUUCGUUGCACUAUCGUUUGAUGAAUACAUAGUCAAACGAGGCGAACCGGGGGAACUGAAACAUCUAAGUACCCCGAGGAAAAGAAAUCAACCGAGAUUCCCCCAGUAGCGGCGAGCGAACGGGGAGCAGCCCGGAGUCUGAAUCAGCUUGUGUGUUAGUGGAAGCGUCUGGAAAGUCGCAGGGUACAGGGUGAUACUCCCGUACACUAAAACACACAGGUUGUGAACUCGAAGGGUAGGGCGGGACACGUGGUAUCCUGUCUGAAUAUGGGGGGACCAUCCUCCAAGGCUAAAUACUCCUGACUGACCGAUAGUGAACCAGUACCGUGAGGGAAAGGCGAAAAGAACCCCGGCGAGGGGAGUGAAAAAGAACCUGAAACCGUGUACGUACAAGCAGUAGGAGCCCACUAGUUGGGUGACUGCGUACCUUUUGUAUAAUGGGUCAGCGACUUAUAUUCUGUAGCAAGGUUAACCGUAUAGGGGAGCCGCAGGGAAACCGAGUCUUAACUGGGCGUUAAGUUGCAGGGUAUAGACCCGAAACCCGGUGAUCUAGCCAUGGGCAGGUUGAAGGUUGGGUAACACUAACUGGAGGACCGAACCGACUAAUGUUGAAAAAUUAGCGGAUGACUUGUGGCUGGGGGUGAAAGGCCAAUCAAACCGGGAGAUAGCUGGUUCUCCCCGAAAGCUAUUUAGGUAGCGCCUCGUGAAUUCAUCUUCGGGGGUAGAGCACUGUUUCGGCUAGGGGGUCAUCCCGACUUACCAACCCGAUGCAAACUACGAAUACCGAAGAAUGUUAUCACGGGAGACACACGGCGGGUGCUAACGUCCGUCGUGAAGAGGGAAACAACCCAGACCGCCAGCUAAGGUCCCAAAGUCAUGGUUAAGUGGGAAACGAUGUGGGAAGGCCCAGACAGCCAGGAUGUUGGCUUAGAAGCAGCCAUCAUUUAAAGAAAGCGUAAUAGCUCACUGGUCGAGUCGGCCUGCGCGGAAGAUGUAACGGGGCUAAACCAUGCACCGAAGCUGCGGCAGCGACACUAUGUGUUGUUGGGUAGGGGAGCGUUCUGUAAGCCGUUGAAGGUGGCCUGUGAGGGUUGCUGGAGGUAUCAGAAGUGCGAAUGCUGACAUAAGUAACGAUAAUGCGGGUGAAAAACCCGCACGCCGGAAGACCAAGGGUUCCUGUCCAACGUUAAUCGGGGCAGGGUGAGUCGACCCCUAAGGCGAGGCCGAAAGGCGUAGUCGAUGGGAAACAGGUUAAUAUUCCUGUACUCGGUGUUACUGCGAAGGGGGGACGGAGAAGGCUAUGUUGGCCGGGCGACGGUUGUCCCGGUUUAAGCGUGUAGGUGUGUGUUCCAGGUAAAUCCGGUUCACUUUAACACUGAGGCGUGAUGACGAGGCACUACGGUGCUGAAGUGACAAAUGCCCUGCUUCCAGGAAAAGCCUCUAAGCAUCAGGUAACAUCAAAUCGUACCCCAAACCGACACAGGUGGUCAGGUAGAGAAUACCAAGGCGCUUGAGAGAACUCGGGUGAAGGAACUAGGCAAAAUGGUGCCGUAACUUCGGGAGAAGGCACGCUGAUGGUAAGUGAAGCGACUUGCUCGUGGAGCUGAAAUCAGUCGAAGAUACCAGCUGGCUGCAACUGUUUAUUAAAAACACAGCACUGUGCAAACACGAAAGUGGACGUAUACGGUGUGACGCCUGCCCGGUGCCGGAAGGUUAAUUGAUGGGGUUAUCCUCGCGGAGAAGCUCUUGAUCGAAGCCCCGGUAAACGGCGGCCGUAACUAUAACGGUCCUAAGGUAGCGAAAUUCCUUGUCGGGUAAGUUCCGACCUGCACGAAUGGCGUAAUGAUGGCCAGGCUGUCUCCACCCGAGACUCAGUGAAAUUGAACUCGCUGUGAAGAUGCAGUGUACCCGCGGCAAGACGGAAAGACCCCGUGAACCUUUACUAUAGCUUGACACUGAACACUGGUCCUUGAUGUGUAGGAUAGGUGGGAGGCUUUGAAGUGUGGACGCCAGUCUGCAUGGAGCCAUCCUUGAAAUACCACCCUUUAAUGGCUGGUGUUCUAACGUGGGCCCCUAAUCGGGGUUGCGGACAGUGUCUGGUGGGUAGUUUGACUGGGGCGGUCUCCUCCUAAAGAGUAACGGAGGAGCACGAAGGUCAGCUAAUCCUGGUCGGACAUCAGGAGGUUAGUGCAAUGGCAUAAGCUGGCUUGACUGCGAGCGUGACGGCGCGAGCAGGUGCGAAAGCAGGUCAUAGUGAUCCGGUGGUUCUGAAUGGAAGGGCCAUCGCUCAACGGAUAAAAGGUACUCCGGGGAUAACAGGCUGAUACCGCCCAAGAGUUCAUAUCGACGGCGGUGUUUGGCACCUCGAUGUCGGCUCAUCACAUCCUGGGGCUGAAGUAGGUCCCAAGGGUAUGGCUGUUCGCCAUUUAAAGUGGUACGCGAGCUGGGUUUAGAACGUCGUGAGACAGUUCGGUCCCUAUCUGCCGUGGGCGCUGGAGAAUUGAGGGGGGCUGCUCCUAGUACGAGAGGACCGGAGUGGACGCAUCACUGGUGUUCGGGUUGUCAUGCCAAUGGCAUUGCCCGGUAGCUAAAUGCGGAAGAGAUAAGUGCUGAAAGCAUCUAAGCACGAAACUUGCCCCGAGAUGAGUUCUCCCUGACUCCUUGAGAGUCCUGAAGGAACGUUGAAGACGACGACGUUGAUAGGCCGGGUGUGUAAGCGCAGCGAUGCGUUGAGCUAACCGGUACUAAUGAACCGUGAGGCUUAACCUUACAACGCCGAAG